rnacentral:rRNA from 1 species
UACAGAGGGUGCGAGCGUUAAUCGGAAUUACUGGGCGUAAAGCGCACGUAGGUGGUGACGUAAGUCGGGUGUGAAAGCCCCGGGCUCAACCUGGGAAUUGCAUUCGAGACUGCAUUGCUGGAGUACGGAAGAGGAGGGCGGAAUUCCCGGUGUAGCGGUGAAAUGCGUAGAUAUCGGGAGGAACAUCAGUGGCGAAGGCGGCCCUCUGGUCCAGUACUGACACUCAAGUGCGAAAGCGUGGGGAGCAAACAGG